UACAGAGGGGGCAAGCGUUGUUCGGAAUUACUGGGCGUAAAGGGCGCGUAGGCGGCCGCCUAAGUCAGACGUGAAAUCCCUCGGCUCAACCGGGGAACUGCGUCUGAUACUGGGUGGCUUGAAUCCGGGAGAGGGAUGCGGAAUUCCAGGUGUAGCGGUGAAAUGCGUAGAUAUCUGGAGGAAUACCGGUGGCGAAGGCGGCAUCCUGGACCGGCAUUGACGCUGAGGAGCGAAAGCUAGGGGAGCAAACGGG
rnacentral:rRNA from 1 species